rnacentral:lncRNA from 12 species
UAGUACUGUAAGUUUGUUCACUGAUGCUAAAACAUUAAAAUUUUUCUAGCAUAUUAUUACAUUUUGCUUUUAAAUUUGUUAUUUUAUUGAUUUAAUUUAAAUAUAACAUCUGCUAAUAGGUAUUAAAUAAUGUAGUUGAAAGACUGAUGAUUUGCAUUGGGUUUAUUAAAAUACUAAGUCGAGCAACUAUUUAUUAUCUUUCUUAUGAUAAGAGAUGCACACUCAUUUCUUUUUUUUUUGUUUUAAAGAUUUUAUUUAUUCAUGAGAGACACGCAGAGAGAUAGGCAGAGACACAGGCAGAGAGAAAAGCAGGCUCCAUGCAGGGAGCCUGAUGUGGGAGUCGAUCCCAGGUCUCCAGGAUCACACCCUGGGCUGAAGGCGGCACUAAACUGCUGAGCUACCAGGGCUGCCUCACACUCAUUUCUUAAGACAUAAAGAGAAAUGCAUGGCCACGCUGGCCAGUCAGCUUCAGUCAGCUCUGAGCCCAGACCCUGGUUUCCCAUUUCACUACAUGCAGAAGUACCCUCUGACUUGGAAAUGGAGAUUGAAUUUAGGAAGAGGAAUUUGGCAGCAAGGUUUCAAUGAGCCUGGCAAGAAGGGAGACACUGCGUACCGAGAGACUGGCUAGAACACCAUUAUCAUUUUCUAGGCUACACCAGGUUAGUGGAAAUGGGAAUGGAAAGUAAAUUGACAACGUGAUGUUGAAUCAAGAUUACUAUUUUGUUGUAAUUAUUUGUGACCUUCCUCAAUAGAUUGAACAUCCUGUGAAGGCAAGAAGUGUACCUUAUCUGGUUUUAUAUCCCCACUGCCUAACAGCGACUAGCAUGUAUAAGUGCUCAAAGUGUUUUAAAUGUAUUUGUGUGGCAAAUGUUAACUGGCUUUAUGAGUAAGUUGUUAGGAUGGUGUUAUUUCAGGGGCACUGGGUAUCUAAGCUGCUGGAUAAGGGACAGCUGG